rnacentral:rRNA from 1 species
UACAGAGGGGGCAAGCGUUAUUCGGAAUUAUUGGGCGUAAAGGGCGCGUAGGCGGCUUGGCAAGUGGAUGGUGAAAUCCCUCGGCUUAACCGAGGAACUGCCGUCCAAACUGCUUAGCUUGAGACCGGGAGAGGUGAGUGGAAUUCCCAGUGUAGCGGUGAAAUGCGUAGAUAUUGGGAGGAACACCAGUGGCGAAGGCGGCUCACUGGACCGGUACUGACGCUGAGGAGCGAAAGCGUGGGGAGCAAACAGG